GAUGAACGCUGGCGGCGUGCCUAAUACAUGCAAGUCGAGCGAACAGACGAGGAGCUUGCUCCUCUGACGUUAGCGGCGGACGGGUGAGUAACACGUGGAUAACCUACCUAUAAGACUGGGAUAACUUCGGGAAACCGGAGCUAAUACCGGAUAAUAUAUUGAACCGCAUGGUUCAAUAGUGAAAGACGGUUUUGCUGUCACUUAUAGAUGGAUCCGCGCCGCAUUAGCUAGUUGGUAAGGUAACGGCUUACCAAGGCAACGAUGCGUAGCCGACCUGAGAGGGUGAUCGGCAACACUGGAACUGAGACACGGUCCAGACUCCUACGGGAGGCAGCAGUAGGGAAUCUUCCGCAAUGGGCGAAAGCCUGACGGAGCAACGCCGCGUGAGUGAUGAAGGUCUUCGGAUCGCAAAACUCUGUUAUUAGGGAAGAACAAAUGUGUAAGUAACUAUGCACGUCUUGACGGUACCUAAUCAGAAAGCCACGGCUAACUACGUG
rnacentral:rRNA from 1 species